AGCGAACGCUGGCGGCAGGCUUAACACAUGCAAGUCGAACGGGCGUAGCAAUACGUCAGUGGCAGACGGGUGAGUAACGCGUGGGAACAUACCUCUUGGUUCGGAACAACACAGGGAAACUUGUGCUAAUACCGGAUAAGCCCUUACGGGAAGAUUUAUCGCCGAGAGAUUGGCCCGCGUCUGAUUAGCUAGUUGGUGGGGUAAAGGACCGUACCAACGGACGACGAUCAGUAGCUGGCUGAGAGGA
rnacentral:rRNA from 1 species